UUUCAAUUUUUUGGGCUUUCUACUCUUCUAAGCCCAGAACGUUACCUCAUCUCUUCCCGUGGUCGUCGAAUCAGUUACCUAGCUCUAGCCGACUUUGCAAAACCUCCAUUGAAACGCUUCACUCUGCAUUCAUACCAAGCAAUAAUUCUUCUCAUUAUUUCCUCCUAUCCACGAAACCCACUACGUCCUACUUAAUUUUCCUUUAUUACCUUUUCUAGGUUUCUGAUCUUAUAAAUAGGGAUGAAAGCGUCACAAAUCUCAUCGCUUCUUAGCUUCUAUGCUUUAAUUUCUUUUUAAACCAUUGUUACGACGAUGGCAAAUUAUUUUUAGGUCGUUGUAUGCAAACUGUUGUGGCGCCUCAUCUUUGCUACUGGGAAGCCCGGAGAGUGAAGAAAAGUGGGGGAGUUUAUGGGUACUUGCUACUUCUAGAUGGGAAGUUCAUCGUCUAAAGAUGCCACCGCUGAAGAGCUAGAGCGCUCUGUGAAUGAACGCCUCUCCAAACCUUAUCGAGGAUCAUUGUUCUAGAGGCCCAGACCAGGGCCAGUUAAACAAGUUGCUCGAAAAGGAGAGGCAGAGAGCGGCAGAGAAUACACAAGAGUAUCUGGCAGCUAAGGAGGAAGCCGAUACCCUAGAAGGUCGAGCAAACCAACUUGAAAUGUAAAUUAGGAAACUGCGGAGAAAACAUAAGCAAGUGUUACAAAAAGGGCAGCUCCAAAACGAGCUUAUUCAGAAGGUGCUACAUAGUCUUACAGAAGAAACAAUCACUUCAGACUUUCAGACUCUGUGCCUCUGAGUAACUCUGCCUUAAUCUUCAUGAAUCUGCUUCUGAGUUGUUGAUGCAGUUGGGAGGUAUAACAAAAUUACGUUCUGUUUCAAUA